rnacentral:lncRNA from 1 species
CUGAGGCCUUACUUCUGAUGGUAACACUGGUGCCUAACUAGAAGCGUCACCCCUACUGACUAGCAUUCAUGGUACUGGAAGGUAGUUUGCAUGCUACUGGAGAAGAAACUACAUCAUCAAUACCACCCAGCCACAAACCCUGUGACCUACAGCAGCCUACAAGAUGGACUGAUACAAUAAUGGCGCAAAUGAUCAGUGCCUUGUUCAUCCCUCAUCAGAGAAAUUUCUUCUUGCAACAGAAGGAGAGGAACACAGAGUCCACAGGUGGACAAUGUUCAGAGAGUGAGACUUUGGAGCUCUCAGUCCUAAAUGUGAUGUCGUCAUCACCUCCCCUGUUCAGGACACAGGGAUCCAUGUGAAGAGGAGGUGGGAAGAAUGGAAGAACCAGAGGUGGUGGAUGACCUAAGGAAGCAGUAUCCUCCAGAUAAUGGACUGAUGCACAGUUGAUGAACUCUAAGGCACUAUGUCAGCAUGCACCAGACCUACACCGUUUCGGCACUGAGGACGGGAAGGGGAAACAUGUUUGUUUCUACUCCUAACCAAUAAGCUAUUUGUAGUUGAUACCCAUUGAGAAAGUGACAGUUUGUUCCAAUGGAGUCACUGGGCAAAUCAACCAUGC